CGUGCAGGCGGUUUGGUUAAGUUGGAUGUGAAAGACUCCCGGCCUCAACUGGGAGGAGGUCGUUCAAUACUACCAGACUUGAGAGUGGUAGAGGGAGGUGGAAUUCCCGGUGUAGUGGUGAAAUGCGUAGAUAUCGGGAGGAACACCAGUGGCGAAAGCGGCCUCCUGGACCAUUUCUGACGCUCAGACGCGAAAGCUAGGGGAGCAAACGGGAUUAGAGACCCCGGUAGUCCUAGCUGUAAACGAUGUGAACUUGGCGUCGGUGGUGUAAAAACCAUCGGUGCCGCAGCCAACGCGAUAAGUUCACCGCCUGGGGACUACGGCCGCAAAGGUUAAA
rnacentral:rRNA from 1 species